CCGGAUUUUUUACCUACUUGGGUUCGUAAAAUACCGACAUGUCAACACAAAAAUGGAGGUCAUGCACUGUUUAUCGGUAGCUAAUCUGUUUAUUGCCACUGAUAACAGGAGAGGGGAACAAUUUCAUGGAAGCUAAUAAUGAAGAGUCUGAAGAGUUCCCCUCAGAUUUUGAGAUUCAAAAUCUUAGUAAAUCCUGCAUCAACAUCAGCAUAUAAAAGCCCCUGAAACUACAGAGCAGCAUGACAGUGCCUUUAGAAGACUUCUUUGAAUUUACAUAGCUAAACAGGAUCCUUAAAUCCAGGACACAACUCUUGCUCCUUAGACUUAGUGAGAAAAAUCCAUUCAUCCAUCUAUUAAAAGCUGGAAACUCAGACUGUCUGCAGAACCUUAUUAAUUUUUCUAAUUGCCAAGUUAAACUUUGACAUUUGCCAUGAAUAUUAUUCAAAUGACACUCUUAUGGCCAGGCAGAAUAUAC